rnacentral:rRNA from 1 species
GACGAACGCUGGCGGCGUGCUUAACACAUGCAAGUCGAACGGAAAGGCCCAGCUUGCUGGGUGCUCGAGUGGCGAACGGGUGAGUAACACGUGGGUGAUCUGCCUCUAACUUCGGGAUAAGCUUGGGAAACUGGGUCUAAUACCGGAUAGGACAAUCGUUUAGUGUCGGUUGUGGAAAGUUUUUUCGGUUAGGGAUGAGCCCGCGGCCUAUCAGCUUGUUGGUGGGGUAAUGGCCUACCAAGGCGUCGACGGGUAGCCGGCCUGAGAGGGUGGACGGCCACAUUGGGACUGAGAUACGGCCCAGACUCCUACGGGAGGCAGCAGUGGGGAAUAUUGCACAAUGGGCGCAAGCCUGAUGCAGCGACGCCGCGUGGGGGAUGACGGCCUUCGGGUUGUAAACCUCUUUCGACAGGGACGAAGCUUUGGUGGCGGUACCUGUAUAAGAAGCACCGGCUAACUACGUG